rnacentral:rRNA from 1 species
UACGGAGGAUCCGAGCGUUAUCCGGAAUCACUGGGCGUAAAGAGUAGCGUAGGUGGUUCUGUAAGUCAGUUCUUAAAGAUCAGGGCUCAACCCUGGGAAUGGAACUGAGACUGCAGAACUUGAGCACGAGAGAGGUGGCUGGAAUUCCUAGUGUAGGAGUGAAAUCCGUAGAUAUUAGGAGGAACACCAAUGGCGAAGGCAGGCCACUGGCUCGUUGCUGACACUGAGGCACGAAAGCGUGGGGAGCGAACGGG